GAUGAACGCUGGCGGCGUGCCUAAUACAUGCAAGUCGAGCGAACAGACGAGGAGCUUGCUCCUCUGACGUUAGCGGCGGACGGGUGAGUAACACGUGGAUAACCUACCUAUAAGACUGGGAUAACUUCGGGAAACCGGAGCUAAUACCGGAUAAUAUAUUGAACCGCAUGGUUCAAUAGUGAAAGACGGUUUUGCUGUCACUUAUAGAUGGAUCCGCGCCGCAUUAGCUAGUUGGUAAGGUAACGGCUUACCAAGGCGACGAUGGGUAGCCGACCUGGGAGGGUGAUCGGCCACACUGGAACUGAGACACGGUCCAGACUCCUACGGGAGGCAGCAGUAGGGAAUCUUCCGCAAUGGGCGAAAGCCUGACGGAGCAACGCCGCGUGAGUGAUGAAGGUCUUCGGAUCGUAAAACUCUGUUAUUAGGGAAGAACAAAUGUGUAAGUAACUAUGCACGUCUUGACGGUACCUAAUCAGAAAGCCACGGCUAACUACGUG
rnacentral:rRNA from 1 species